UCGAGGGAGUUGAAAAGGCAGCGAGGAGGGUGCGGAGAGUAGGGAACUUGAGCAGGGAGCGAGCAAAGCAAGUAGUAGCGCAGCAAGCUAUGUAAUCAAUAAAGACACAACUGCCAACUCGGGUGUUCUGUCUAGUCAUUCCCCUCUCACCAUGGAGGGGCCAGAGACAUCUGAAGACUGCAGGAUGCGUGCUGGACUUCCUGAUAAUGAGCACCAUGCUCGCCUGCCAACACAUGCUUAUCAAGACCUGUCAACAGACUUGACUACUGAUAGAAAGUAUUGAGGAUUUAUUAUACAGGUGUGCUACACUUAGCCACAAAGAAAACCAUCAGUCCGGAAUGAUGAAAAUCCCAUGGCAUUAAGUCAAGUUGCAGCCUACACAUUCGCUUCUUCUUCCACUUGGUUCUCGUGGCACAAUGGAAGUUGACAAGAUGGUGCUAAGAAGAAGAGAAUCUAAUAUACUGCUUAAAAACAAAUUGGAUAUGAAAGAAUUUCACAGAUUCUUAUAUAAUCCUCCUCUUCUUCUUUGUAUUUUGAAAAGCUUGUGUUUACUGAAAAUAAAGUUCAUAAUAAAAACUGAAUGGAAUAAAUAAAAUAAAGGGAUUGGUUAGCUUUGGAACAAUGAUUUCAUGGAUCCAUUGUGAUGGCAAUAUUUAAAAGCUAAAUAAGCUGGGGCAUAGGAAUAUAAUACUAUAAAACUAUUCCUUAGCUGGAA